ACUCCUACGGGAGGCAGCAGGCGGGAAUAUUGGGCAAUGGACGAAAGUCUGACCCAGCGACGCCGCGUGAGGGAUGAAGCUUCUCGGAGCGUAAACCUCAGACGGAUAGGGACGAAAAGCCUAUCGGCUAAUAUCCGGUAGGCCUGACGGUACCUGUUACGAAGCUCCGGCUAACUCCGUGCCAGCAGCCGCGGUAAUACGGGGGGAGCGAGCGUUGUUCGGAAUUACUGGGCGUAAAGGGCGUCUAGGCGGGUCGGUCAGUCAGAAGUGAAAACUCCCGGCUUAACUGGGAGCCUGCUUUUGAAACUGCCGGUCUUGAGUGUGGAAGAGGUGCGGGGAAUUCUCAGUGUAGCGGUGAAAUGCGUAGAUAUUGGGAAGAACACCAGUGGCGAAGGCGGCUCACUGGACCAGAAUUGACGCUGAGGCACGAAAGCGUGGGGAGCAAACCAGGAUUAGAUACCCUGGUAGUC
rnacentral:rRNA from 1 species